rnacentral:rRNA from 1 species
GACGAACGCUGGCGGCGUGCCUAAUACAUGCAAGUAGAACGCUGAAGGAGGAGCUUGCUUCUCUGGAUGAGUUGCGAACGGGUGAGUAACGCGUAGGUAACCUGCCUGGUAGCGGGGGAUAACUAUUGGAAACGAUAGCUAAUACCGCAUAAGAGUAGAUGUCGCAUGACAUUUGCUUAAAAGUUGCAAUUGCAUCACUACCAGAUGGACCUGCGUUGUAUUAGCUAGUUGGUGAGGUAACGGCUCACCAAGGCGACGAUACAUAGCCGACCUGAGAGGGGGAGCGGCCACACUGAGACUGAGACACGGCCCAGACUCCUACGGGAGGGAGCAGUAGGGAAUCGUCGGCAAUGGACGGAAGUCUGACCGAGCAACGCCGCGGGAGUGAAGAAGGUUUUCGGAUCGUAAAGCUCUGUUGUAAGAGAAGAACGAGUGUGAGAGUGGAAAGUUCACACUGUGACGGUAUCUUACCAGAAAGGGACGGCUAACUACGUG